CACACUUGGAAGGCUUCCAUUAUGAAGUAAACAUUACCCAGCAGAACUGUCAGUAGUGAAAUAAGGAAUACCUAACAGGAACCAAGAUGUCCUGGGCAUUUUUGGUGGGAGAAGUGAAGAGCACACAGGCUACACUACCCAGGUAUGUCCUAUAUUCAGAGCUGACUUCUGUUUCAUGGGAUUAGGAGCAAUUUAACAGUGUGUGCCAUCUGAAAGAGUGAAGGUGCUGGUAAGACUCCUAUCGCUCUACAGAGAAAUAAAGAAGAGACAACACAUGUGAUCAAAUGCAUAAAUCAAGUUAUCUUUGAAGAUUUUUACAGCUAGAAAAGCUAAAGAAGAAGAAAAUAUCAAACACAUCCAUACACAGUAAAUCAGUUGCCGUCAAAAAGAUUUAUUGAAGAAAAAUCAGCAAAGUGAAAACAGACCCAUUUUAAAAGCCUGUGUCAGGAAAGAAUGAAGAUCUAUGUCCUUGAAUUGUUAACCAAAAGCAUAAGAAGAGUGUGAUAUCAGUGCUUAAGACCUGAAAAAGAUGGACAAAAAUUCAAGAAAGAAAUUUUAAAGAAAGAAAAUCACAGUUUUCAUAUGUUCACCCAUAAUAUUCUUUUGGACAAAUGUGCAUGUUUGUAAAAUAUCAUUUUGCCUUAGUCUGCAUCCAACAUGAGCCAGGAAUAUUUCUUACAGGUGGGUGCUAAACAAUUACUGAAUAGCCUUAAUUCUUAUGUAUGUUUUUUAAUAGAAGAGAACCAUCAGUUAAAUACUAAUGAAAAAAAUCUGUUUAGAAUAAACAUUUCAGAUAUUUUAAUACUACAACAAUUUUUUUGAGAUAUGUUAAUUUCAUUCUCUCCAUCGCUUUAACUCAUACUAAAAUAUGCUAUUGAGAAUUAACUAAAAUGACAUACACCAUUAAAUGUAGCAAGAAGUGAGCUUUCUUUAUUGCUCUCUCUUCAUAUCCCUAAAGCUGGGAUUAGAAGGUUUUAUAUUAGGAUAAGUAAUUAUUGGAUAACAAUUAAACUUUGUGAUACUAGGGGAACUGUUGUAUUGCUGAGUUUUCUAAGUUUCCAUAAAUAUAUUCUGCUGUAUGAGCUCUAUUUCUAAGCAUCCACAUUUUCUAAGUCUAAUACUUGCCUUAAAAGCCCACAUUCUCUAAUUUAUUGAGAUUUUUGCUUGUUCAACAAACUUCUCAGAUGUUUAAGCUAGCUGUCUAGGCUAUUGUACAAUUCUACUUGACAUCUCCUUUGUUGCUUUAAAUCAGGAACUCAUCUGGUUCUUCUUUCAGUAGUUUAAAGACACCUGUUUCAGUUGUACAAUUGUCUUCUGUUUGGUUUGGGACAUCUAAAUCGGGAGUAGUUCCUGAAAAUGCCUCAGUGUCCUUACUUACAGAUUCCAUUCUAUUAUUUUCAGACAAAUCUUCUUUUGUCAUAGUAGAUGAAUCUUCCUUGAUGUUCGUCGCUACAGAUGCAGGGACAAUGAAGUCAUAUCUGGAUUCAACAGCACUUAGCAAAACAGGAUAUUUCUCUGCUUCAUUUGCAAUCUCUCUUUCUGUCCAAACAUUGAUUUCCUCCGUAGACUCUUCAUCAGUUAGCGGAAUAUCUUCUGGGUUGUCUUUGUCUCUUUCAACAGUGGUAGUGAGUUCAAACACAGUGAUGAACUUUUCCUCAUCAGAGUCAGUUAGUUUAGGCACAACAUUAGGGUCAUCCUCUGGAAGAAUUAAGUCAAUUUCAGUUAUUUUCUCUUCUGUAACGGUGGUUAUGUCUGGAAUAGUGGUGACGUUUUUUUCAGUAGCUGGAGAGAUUUCAGCCUCAGGAAUAGAGGAGUCAGUGAUCUGGACAGCCUCAUCAGCAGCGACAUUGGAUUUAACUGAGGAGCUAUCAUUGUUAGCUGGAAGGGCAGGGGUGUCAGCAGUGUUGGUGGUGCUGUCUUUUAGUGUGCCAGAGACUUCAGAAGUUGUUGAGACGUCUUCAUCCCCUGAGCCAAUAGUAUCCAAGAAAACAUCUUCUUUUGCCCUGUUAGUGGAAAAAUCUAUUAAAGACACAGUAGCAACAGGUGAUGAGAUAUUACCAAUUUUCAUUGAAAUGAAAUCUUCAGUAAUACAGUCACUAGCCAUGGAGUUUGUAGUGCCUGUCAGAGUGGUAAUGUCUUUCUCCAGAUGAGUUGAUGAUUUAAGAAUAUGGGAUUCAGCAUCAUCUUCUGAUUUUAGUCUUUCCUUUAGAGAUGUAAGCUUGUUGUAUGUAGUUGUUGAAAAAUCACUUUCUUGCAUAUGGUCAUUUACUGAAGUAAUGUGGUCUCCUUCUGAAGUAAUAGUUGUUUCUGAUCUAGGAAUAGUGUUUUCAGCCCCAAAGAAAAUGGUUGCUUCCGUUGUUGUUUUACUGCUUUCUGUUGGAGGAUGAGAAUAAAUUUUUGGCACACCAUCUUCAGCCAUGGGACGAAGUGGCACUAUGCACACUCAGAGGUCUUUCCCUGGGCCCAGUGAUAUCCCUAGGCAGGAGAGUAGUAUUCAUUAUAGUGAUGGAAGCACUGGUCAUCAAGGUGAUUGUUACAUCAACCACAGGGCCAAUGGCAUUGGCUCUCUGUGGAGGUUGUUUCUGUGCUCUGAUUGGGCACCUGGUUGCAAGAGUAUUGAUAUUAGAUAAAAAGACAACAGAGUCCUCUCUGGUUAUGUAAUCAAAAUUCACAGCUGAAUAUCAAUUGCAAAGAACUUGGGAUUUAACAUAUUUCUGAAUAUAAAGGAUGUGCCUUCCAAUAUGGGGCUUGUGUCACUUGAAACAGACAUAACAGAGUCUGCCAGUGUCAAUGGAGGAAACUCCAAGAGCCACAAGAUUAUCAGCAUCAUCUCCAAGUUGCCUGUCCUUCAAUUCCAUUAUGAUAUGGUUAUCCAAAAUACUGAAACUUACCGGGAAGUGAGAGACAAAAUUCAAGAUGGCCACAGUCAGGAUUAGGAUCUUCAUCUUGUCCUACUUAUUCCCUGCAACUGAGGUUCAGCUCCAGGAUCUGAGUGACGUAAGAGGAGCAAGAUAGGCAAAAUUGACCUAUACGUUACAUAAUCAAAGAAUUAUGAAGAAAUAAUUUUUUUGAGAGAUUCUUGGCUUUGAAUUGUGGGUGGUGAUCCAGGACAGCUGGCGGUGUAAUUCCAAUCCAAGUCUGAAGGCUAAGAACCCAGUAGCUAAUGGUGUGAAUCCUGGUCCAAAGGCAGCAGAAAAUUGAUGUCUCAACUCAAGCAGGCAGCAUUAUUGGAUUUGGAAGAACAACUUUGAUUUAUUCAUUCAUUCAAACGAUACUUAAUGGACAUCCUCUCUAUAGAAGGCACUGUGAAUUCAGCAGGAACAAGACAGACCCAGUUCCUGCCUUGAGUGGCUACAGAUUUAUUGGAAAGAGAUACAACACAAACAGAAAAGAGUGUUGAUCCACUGAUAUGUGGUUAACAGAGCAAGUGAACUUCCACUUAACUUUCUUUUGGACAAACUUUCUUCAUUCACCUUUUCUUCCAAGAAACUCGUGAAGAUCAGAAGUCAGGAUGUGGCUGCACUUGAAUCACUGGUGCCUGCGUGGUAAUCAGUAUCAUAAUAAAGACUGUGCAAUAAUAAUACACAAUAUUGUCUUAUCUGAGAACUGAGAUAAUCACUUUAUAGUCAAUAAAAUUAUAUAUACUUAGGACUGAUGUGGUGAUUUGAUAAUAAGACUUGCCUACUUUCUCUUUUAUGUUUAUCAUUACUGUGGAACACUAAUCAUAACACUCUCCUUUAUGAAGUCAAUAUUAUUUUAGGUGUUCAAAUUUAUGGAUUUUAUUUGAUUGAAUAUUAAAAUAUAGUAGAAAGGACUUUGGAGGCUAAGGACUUUGCAUAUUCCCUAAAUUUGAGUUUAUACUUAACAAUUUUGUAAGGAAGAUCCUUAUAUGAAAAUUUUAUCAUGUAACAUUAUAAUCUCUAUGUUUAUGUAAAAAUUAUUCAUGCCUUCUCCAAUGUGAACUCAAGGAUAUUCAGGAAGUUUUAGAAAAGUAGACUAAGCUUCUGUGAUCAUCAAUAAAAUGAAUUAUACACAGUUAACAUGUUAUUGAUAUGGAGGAAAGAGAUUAUUAAUCAUUUCACAUUUAAAUGCUUAUUGAAAUUAAAUAAAAUAUUAAAUACUUGGACAUAUGACUAUCAAAUUCUUGGGUAUUAACAUGACCUUAGAUAUAUUUAUGUUGGAUUGUCUUGAAAAAAGUAGGAGAAUAAUGGCUGACACAUGGUUCACAUCCAGUAAUUGGAGAAGGGAGUUUCAGACCAACUUGCCCAUCUGUCUUAAAAUAUAAUGUUUAGAAAAUCAAGGUAGUGUAAAAUUAUUGCCUAGCAGAAAAUUUGAAAGGAAAAUAAAUAUGUCGUAUAUAUUUUUGAAAGAAGGAUAAGAGUGGUUGAAUAAAUAGAAAUUGUAUUCUUAGAUUAAUUCCAAAUAGCAGCAAUUCAGAAAUAGGUGAGAAUUUGCAGAUAUUGUGUCAUUUGAGGAAUAGUAAAAUGUAUUAAAUAGAUAUAUCUUUAUUAUAUGUGCAUAUAAAAAUUCUAGAAAAAUAUUUUUAUUUCAAUUAAUUUCAGUGUGCGAUGUUUUUUAUCUUUUGCAUUUGUAAUUAUCUGAUAAUGCUUAUGUUUCUUUGCUUACAG
ensembl:lncRNA